rnacentral:rRNA from 1 species
AAGUUUUCGGAUGGAAUCAGUAUAACUUAGUGGCGGACGGGUGAGUAACGCGUGAGUAACCUGCCUUUCAGAGGGGGAUAACGUUCUGAAAAGAACGCUAAUACCGCAUAACAUAUGUUUAUCGCAUGGUAGAGAUAUCAAAGGAGCAAUCCGCUGAAAGAUGGACUCGCGUCCGAUUAGCCAGUUGGCGGGGUAAUGGCCCACCAAAGCGACGAUCGGUAGCCGGGUUGAGAGACUGAACGGCCACAUUGGGACUGAGACACGGCCCAGACUCC